rnacentral:rRNA from 1 species
UACGAAGGGAGCUAGCGUUGUUCGGAAUCACUGGGCGUAAAGCGCACGUAGGCGGAUGUGUCAGUCAGGGGUGAAAUCCCGGGGCUCAACCUCGGAACUGCCUCUGAUACAGCACGUCUCGAGUCCGGAAGAGGUGGGUGGAAUUCCUAGUGUAGAGGUGAAAUUCGUAGAUAUUAGGAAGAACACCGGUGGCGAAGGCGGCCCACUGGUCCGGUACUGACGCUGAGGUGCGAAAGCGUGGGGAGCAAACAGG